GAGUUCAGUUCCUAUCGCCCAUCCUCUCCCAACUGCCAGUCACUCCAGCUUCAGAGUCCAACACCAUCUUCUGGCUUCAGAGGAACCUGCACAAGCACAUAUUCCAGACUUCCGGAACAACAGUGUCGAACAAUAUGAUCACCAAGAGCAAGACAUCCUCAAACACGCUUCCUGGCCGCUCUAGCAUCUCCAGGGCUGGGUCAGGGACAGGUCCAGAUCUGUCACAGAUCUCUAGCAAGGAUCUAGACACCUUCAUCCAGGACCACCUUAGGCCGAGUACCCAGUUCCAGCAGCAGGUGAGGUAGGCCAUCGAGGCCAUCUUGUGCUGCCUCCGGGAGAAGUGUGUAGACAAAGUCUUAAGGGUCAGCAAGUCUGUAGUCCAACUCCCAACAAUGGUCGGCAGCAGCUGUGAAUGGAAGUCCGAGGAUCCAGCAGUUGCAAGCAAUUGAAAAACUCAAAUUUUCAAGUAUGAUGAAGGGAAAACAAUAACAAACAAAACAGAAGACACUGAAGAGCAGUAUGGAAACACCAUAA